CAGAGACCAGUGGGGCAGAGACAGGCCCAGUGCAGAGCGGCUCAGUGGGGCUGGAGGGUUCCUGGCAACAAGGCCUUGUUCUCAGUCCUGAACUGCUCAGACGUCAUACCGGGUGGUCAGCGGGGAUUCAGAAGGGAUGAGUCCUAGGGUGGGGCCAGUUACUGUGGCCAGGAUCCCAGCCUCCUGUGUCCACAGGGCAGGGGACUCAGGGCUCAAUCUGCUGGCCCCUGGGUUCCCACACCGUUGGGCGGGGUGGCCUGGCGAGGGAGGCAGCUUCUCCUGUGGCCAUUACGGGCAUCUUCUCUCCCCCGCAGAGGAUGUCCUGGAGUCCUACGAAAAUCCCCCACCCAUCGUCCUGCCCAGCGACGGCUUCCAGGUGGACUUGGAAGCCGACUGCCUGGACGACAGCAUCUACCAGCACUUGCUCUACAUCCGCCACUUUCUGUGGGGUCUGCGGAGCAGAGCCAGCCCCGGCAGCCCUGGCAGGCCUGGCAGUGGGGCCUCCCAGCCAGUGUGCCCCGAGGGUAUGCACCACGUGGUCCUUGACGGGCACCUGGAGGCCCCGAGCUGCCCCCUGGCUCCCAGGGACCCUGGCCCAGCAGCCCGGGAAGUGGCCCCGGAGCGUACUCUUCCCUUGAGGGGGGCUCCCUGGGCACAGGCACCCCCUGGAAGGCAACCCGGCCGUGGGGGCUCCCAGGCUGGCCCCCCGCACACGGACUCGUCAUGCUUGCUCACGCCUCCCAGCACUCCACUUGGCCCUGAGCCUGGGGACCCCGACUGGGCAGAGUCCGGCGGCCCCUGUGGAAAAGCGCUCCCAGAGAGGCAGAGGAACGGACGCAGCGGCCUCCGGGGUGCAGCUCCGGAAGGAGACUCUGCAGCCCUUGCGGACGAGUCCCCUCCAGCCCCGUCCAGCCGCAGCUCCAGCACCGAGGACUUCUGCUACGUCUUCACGGUGGAGCUGGAACGAGGCCCCUCCGGGCUGGGGAUGGGCCUGAUCGACGGGAUGCACACGCACCUGGGCGCCCCCGGGCUCUACAUCCAGACCCUGCUCCCGGGCAGUCCCGCAGCGGCUGACGGGCGCCUGUCGCUGGGGGACCGUAUCCUGGAGGUGAAUGGCAGCAGCCUCCUGGGCCUUGGCUACCUGAGAGCCGUGGACCUGAUCCGUCAUGGCGGGAAGAAGAUGCGGUUCCUGGUCGCCAAGUCUGACGUGGAAACAGCCAAGAAGAUCCAUUUCCGCACGCCCCCUCUCUAGGGGGGCUGCGAGGACACCCCCCCAGGCCCGGCACCCGGUCCCACCUGAUGACACUGGGCUUCCUCCCGCCUUCGUCCCUGUUUUGUAACUGACCAAGUUGGGUCCCGGGUGGGGAGCCUCACCCUGGGGACACGCCUGUUGAUAACACACAUCUUAGUGUAGGUUCUAUUUAUAUGGCAGAUGACGUGAAGUUGUGAUGUUUGUUACAGAGCUUUUAUGUUUAAGGACUUCAAUGGAGAAGUACGGUUCAAUAAACUAUUUUUCCCGUUCUUA
rnacentral:sRNA from 1 species